rnacentral:ribozyme from 2 species
ACUCCAACUCCGCCUGUAGAUCUUCUAGAGUUACUGUCGGUCCCAAGCCCGGGUAAAGGAGGAGGGUUGG